rnacentral:rRNA from 1 species
UACAGAGGUCCCAAGCGUUGUUCGGAAUCACUGGGCGUAAAGGGCGCGUAGGUGGUGGCUUAAGCGUGCGGUGAAAGCUCGGGGCUCAACUCCGAGUCGGCCGUGCGAACUGGGCUCACUGGAGCAUAGUAGAGGCAGGUGGAAUUCCGGGUGUAGCGGUGGAAUGCGUAGAGAUCCGGAAGAACACCGGUGGCGAAGGCGGCCUGCUGGGCUAUGGCUGACACUGAGGCGCGACAGCGUGGGGAGCAAACAGG